rnacentral:rRNA from 1 species
ACACAUGCAAGUCGAGGGGCAGCAUUUUAGUUUGCAAGCAAACUAAAGAUGGCGACCGGCGCACGGGUGAGUAACACGUAUCCAACCUGCCGAUAACUCAGGGAUAGCCUUUCGAAAGAAAGAUUAAUACCUGAUGGCAUAGGAUUAUCGCAUGAUAAUCCUAUUAAAGAAUUUCGGUUAUCGAUGGGGAUGCGUUCCAUUAGGCAGUUGGUGAGGUAACGGCUCACCAAACCUUCGAUGGAUAGGGGUUCUGAGAGGAAGGUCCCCCACAUUGGAACUGAGACACGGUCCAAACUCCUACGGGAGGCAGCAGUGAGGAAUAUUGGUCAAUGGACGGGAGUCUGAAUCAGCCAAGUAGCGUGAAGGAUGACUGCCCUAUGGGUUGUAAACUUCUUUUAUACGGGAAUAAAGUGAUCCACGUGUGGAUUUUUGUAUGUACCGUAUGAAUAAGGAUCGGCUAACUCCGUGCCAGCAGCCGCGGUAAUACGGAGGAUCCGAGCGUUAUCCGGAUUUAUUGGGUUUAAAGGGAGCGUAGGUGGAUUGUUAAGUCAGUUGUGAAAGUUUGCGGCUCAACCGUAAAAUUGCAGUUGAUACUGGCAGUCUUGAGUACAGUAGAGGUGGGCGGAAUUCGUGGUGUAGCGGUGAAAUGCUUAGAUAUCACGAAGAACUCCGAUUGCGAAGGCAGCUCACUGGACUGCAACUGACACUGAUGCUCGAAAGUGUGGGUAUCAAACAGGAUUAGAUACCCUGGUAGUCCACACAGUAAACGAUGAAUACUCGCUGUUUGCGAUAUACGGUAAGCGGCCAAGCGAAAGCGUUAAGUAUUCCACCUGGGG